CCUACGGGCGGCAGCAGUGGGGAAUAUUGGACAAUGGGGGGAACCCUGAUCCAGCCAUGCCGCGUGUGUGAAGAAGGCCCUCGGGUUGUAAAGCACUUUCAGUGAGGAAGAACGCCUGGUGGUUAAUACCCAUCAGGAAAGACAUCACUCACAGAAGAAGCACCGGCUAACCCCGUGCCAGCAGCCGCGGUAAUACGGAGGGUGCGAGCGUUAAUCGGAAUUACUGGGCGUAAAGGGCGCGUAGGUGGCUUGAUAAGCCGGUUGUGAAAGCCCCGGGCUCAACCUGGGAACGGCAUCCGGAACUGUCAAGCUAAAGUGCAGGAGAGGAAGGUAGAAUUCCCGGUGUAGCGGUGAAAUGCGUAGAGAUCGGGAGGAAUACCAGUGGCGAAGGCGGCCUUCUGGACUGACACUGACACUGAGGUGCGAAAGCGUGGGUAGCAAACAGGAUUAGAUACCCCAGUAGUC
rnacentral:rRNA from 1 species